AGCAGUCGCCGCGGGAACACGAAGGGUGCAAGCGUUACUCGGAAUUACUGGGCGUAAAGCGUGCGUAGGUGGUGGUUUAAGUCCGUUGUGAAAGCCCUGGGCUCAACCUGGGAAUUGCAGUGGAUACUGGGUCACUAGAGUGUGGUAGAGGAUAGUGGAAUUUCCGGUGUAGCAGUGAAAUGCGUAGAGAUCGGAAGGAACAUCUGUGGCGAAGGCGACUAUCUGGGCCAACACUGACACUGAGGCACGAAAGCGUGGGGAGCAAACAGGAUUAGAUACCCCCGUAGUCCCUGUCUCUUAUAC
rnacentral:rRNA from 1 species